GACGAACGCUGGCGGCGUGCUUAACACAUGCAAGUCGAACGGUGAAGGGGUCUGCUUUUGUGGGCCCUGGAUGAGUGGCGAACGGGUGAGUAACACGUGAGUAACCUGCCCCCUUCUUCUGGAUAACCGCAUGAAAGUGUGGCUAAUACGGGAUAUUCUGGGUCUGUCGCAUGAUGGGUCUGGGAAAAAUUGCGCCUUUGGGUGUUUUUGGUGGGGGAUGGGCUCGCGGCCUAUCAGCUUGUUGGUGGGGUGAUGGCCUACCAAGGCGGUGACGGGUAGCCGGCCUGAGAGGGUGGACGGUCACACUGGGACUGAGACACGGCCCAGACUCCUACGGGAGGCAGCAGUGGGGAAUAUUGCACAAUGGGCGCAAGCCUGAUGCAGCGACGCCGCGUGAGGGAUGGAGGCCUUCGGGUUGUAAACCUCUUUCGCCAGUGAAGCAGGCCUGCUCCUUGUGGGUGGGUUGACGGUAGCUGGAUAAGAAGCGCCGGCUAACUACGUG
rnacentral:rRNA from 1 species